rnacentral:lncRNA from 1 species
AGAGCUCCUGUCGCUCUGUCAGUUGCGCUGUGUUCCUCUCUAGUCACAAGAGCCUUGGGGAAGACAGUUGGAAGCUCAGACAUGAGAAAUAUGAUUCCACAGGACAAUGAAAACCCACCCCAACAGGGUGAAGCAAAUCAAAAUGACUCAGUGGCCUUUGAGGAUGUGGCUGUGAACUUCACCCCAGACGAGUGGGCUUUGCUGGAUCCUUCCCAAAAGAAUCUCUACCGAGAAGUGAUGCAAGAAACCUUGAGGAACUUGGCCUCUAUAGAGGUCUUAUGGAAGAGAGACUCUUUGAAAGUGAAGGUCAUCAGCAUGGAGAAAUUUUGACCCAGGUUCUGGAUGACAUGCUGAAGAAGAAAACUGGAGUAGAAUCAUGUGAAAGGAAUGUGUGUGAGGUCAGCAUGGGUCAUUUAUCCCUUAAUAAGCACACCAGAGCUGACACUGGACACAAGCCAUAUGAGUAUCAGGAAUAUGGACAGACGCCAUAUAAAUGUACAUACUGUAAGAAAGCCUUCAGCUGUCUCCCCUACUUUUGCAGACAUGUAAUUGCACACACUGGAGAAAAACCCUAUGAAUGUAAGGAUUCUGCGAAGACAUUUAGUUUUUCCAUUUAUUUUCAUAGUCAUAAAAGAGCUCACUCUGGAGGGAACCCCUAUGAAUGUAAACAAUCUGGAAAACCCUUU